UUUCCGUAGGUGAACCUGCGGAAGGAUCAUUAUCGUACAAAAUGUGAGGGGCAUGCGAGGGCUGUCGCUGACCCAAAAGUCGUGCACGCCCGAGUGUGUCCUCUUGCAUAAUAAUCCAUCUCACCCUUUGUGCAUCACCGCGUGGGCACCCUUCGGGAUCAUCUCGGAGGGGGGCUCGCGUUUUCACACAGACCCCCCUUUUAAAAGUGUAGAAUGACCACAUUUAUGCAAUCAAUACAACUUUCAACAACGGAUCUCUUGGCUCUCGCAUCGAUGAGAACGCAGC
rnacentral:misc_RNA from 1 species